rnacentral:ncRNA from 1 species
GAAGUAGGUAGAGGUGCGAAGGUCAUCAGUACACAGUAGCAGGAUUAUGGGAUCCGUUGAUGAUUGUGGAAAGGGGAAUUCGCCGAAACUUAAGAGAAUCUCAUAUUCUCAGGGGUUGGUUCUGCUAUUGAAUAAGUACAGGACUGUCAUAUAGGAGACUAUAUGGAGGGCUAUCUUGCGC